UACGUAGGGUGCGAGCGUUAAUCGGAAUUACUGGGCGUAAAGCGUGCGCAGGCGGCUUCGCAAGUCAGACGUGAAAUCCCCGAGCUUAACUUGGGAAUGGCGCUUGAAACUACGGUGCUGGAGUGUGGCAGAGGGAGGUGGAAUUCCACGUGUAGCGGUGAAAUGCGUAGAGAUGUGGAGGAACACCGAUGGCGAAGGCAGCCUCCUGGGCCAACACUGACGCUCAUGCACGAAAGCGUGGGGAGCAAACAGG
rnacentral:rRNA from 1 species